rnacentral:lncRNA from 1 species
CCAGGCUCUGAGCCAUCAGCCCAGAGCCUGACGCGGGGCUCAAACUCAUGGACCGUGAGAUUGUGACCUGAGCUGAAGUCGGACGCUUAACCGACUGCGCCACCCAGGCGCCCCGAGACACAUCUAAUAAUAACUUCCUCUAAACAGCAGAGUCUGAAUUCAAACCCAGAACAUCCAACAUCAUCGUAAUCUCUACUAAUAGAGGUUUUAUGCCCCUUCCUUCUGGGACAUGCUGAAGAAAAGUCCAUCAAAAUGACCACAGAACACACUGUGUUUGGCUAAAACUAACUGAGCAAGGGACUUAUGCCAAAUGCUUUCAUCUGAGCAAGAACAGGGAAAGAAGGUAUUGUUUUCACCAUUUAAUAGAGGCAGAAAGGCCCACGCCCAAGGACUUCACCACUCACAGUGAUGAGAAUCUACAUAGGAAAUGAGAACUCAGUUUACUAGCAGAUCCUCAAGCUGGGAUAUUGUUUCCUCUGCAACUACACCCCUGCCUGUUCCACUCCCCGCCUCACUCGUGCUGCCCGAGGAACACCGAGCCUUCACUCCUCACCGCUUAUGUUUGAUCAUUCAAUGACUUUUACAGAUGAAUGCAAACACAUCAGAAUAGAACACUGAACCGGACACGCAAACCGUGGAGGGGACUCCAUCCUUUCUGCAGGGCCGAGGAAAAAAUCUUGCCAGCAGAGGUCACUGACGCUCCAGUUUGCGAUUUAGCAGCAGCCCAGGCAGGAGGCCAAUCCCGGUUUUCCGUGUGCCAACAAACUCCCUUUGUGCCGAUUAGAACUACACUCCCGUGCCCCCUGGGGUGGAAGAGAUGAGGUAAGUGUUCUUGGAGCCACUUCUGCCCUCUGAUACCCUUAGGGU